rnacentral:rRNA from 1 species
UACAGAGGUCCCAAGCGUUGUUCGGAUUCAUUGGGCGUAAAGGGUGCGUAGGCGGCGCGGUAAGUCGGGUGUGAAAUCUCGGAGCUUAACUCCGAAACUGCAUUCGAUACUGCCGUGCUUGAGGACUGGAGAGGAGACUGGAAUUUACGGUGUAGCGGUGAAAUGCGUAGAUAUCGUAAGGAAGACCAGUGGCGAAGCGGGUCUCUGGACAGUCCUGACGCUGAGGCACGAAGGCCAGGGAGCAACGGG